AAAACGUCAUGCACAAAGCGAUGUACAAAAGUAAAACAAAUUUAUUUCUAUUCUAUUGUCAUAUUCUACCGAAAUGACUUGUGCUGAACAAUAAAAUACUAUACAUUAAAGCGUUUUCAGUCCAAAAAUGGCAGCAGCGGCUGCUUGUC